rnacentral:rRNA from 1 species
ACGGAGGUCCCGAGCGUUGUUCGGAAUUACUGGGCGUAAAGGGAGCGCAGGCGGACGGGCCAGUCUAAAGUGGAAAUGCGGGGCUUAACCUCGGACUUGCUUCGGAUACUGCCUGACUUGAGUUCGUGAGAGGAAGAUGGAAUUCAGGGUGUAGCGGUGAAAUGCGCAGAUAUUAGGAGGAACACCAGUGGCGAAGGCGGCCUUCUGGACUGAAACUGACGCUGAGGCGCGAAAGCGUGGGUAGCAAACAG